rnacentral:lncRNA from 1 species
GGUGCAAAAUAGAUUUAUUGAAACAGAUUUUUUGUUUGUGUGCUAGUUGUCGGUUUGUUUUUCUAUUUGGUAUGGCAUCUAGUAACCUAAUGAUGGAUUUUAAGAAAUAUGACGGUAAGGGGAACUUCACCCUAUGAUAGCAAAGGAUAGAGGACUUGCUGGUUCAGUAGAGGAUCUAUAAAAUCUUGAUAAGGGAAAUACUCGAGAAGA